rnacentral:lncRNA from 1 species
GGGGACUCCCGGGCCGACACGGCGCAGAGGUGCACGCCGAGGAACCCGCUCACCUUUACGAUCUGCGGGCGCGGCAGGACACAUGCCGCGAGGGGCCCCCCGCACGCCCCCGCCAACUUCUCCCGAAUCCGCCGCAGUCCGCGGGGCAGCCGGCUGUCAGGACCCCCGCGCGCCGCCCCGACCUCCCCCACAGGAUUAUAUGUUGCAAACAAUAGAAAUCUAUUCUUGAAAACUCAAGCAAAAAGAGAAUUGACUGGAAGGCUAUAGGGCACCUCAACAUCAAAAGAAGCUCAAGCACCAGCUUUGAGAAAGAGCGAGAACCUGGAAAGCUCUAAGGAUUUUGGGAGCAGUAGUGAAUUUAAUAGUCCUAUCAAAGUGUCAUCACAGAGAGGAAUCAGCUUCUGCCAUUCUUCCUGUCUUUGAGCAUUCAGAAAGAAUCCUGACUUAUGCAGUGGCCUCCUUCAGAAUUCAGGCACCUGCAUUAUCAGAGGCUUGGUCUGAAUCAGAUGAAAGGUGGCAACAUGGCAAAAUAAAAUGAGCAUGUAUAGCACGCCUUCCGGGCAGCAAGCAUGGAGCCAGGCGCUUCCUCAAGGACUGUCUCUCAAGUGCAAGGGUGGCGGCCUGGACUGAUGGGACGCGUGUGAUGCUGACUGUGGAAGCUGAGAACAACAUUGUAACCAUGCCCUGCGUGCUGGUGCUCAACCUGAACCUCUGAUUGGUGAGGGGUUAGGCUGAGAGGUUGACUUUCUCACAGAAACACAGAUGGCCUGUCCUCUCCUGAACACAGAGUGUGAGGAGCUGACGUUUACUGAUACGAUGUCCAACUUGAUGCCCAGGUGUUAGACUAUUCCAAAAUGCAACCUGUUUCGACAUGUUAACUCCGUUCUUCUCAGUUCAGUGGCUAUCAGCAUGUCAGCACCUGCAGAUCAUUCCAUGAAGUUGUGGAAAGAGCUGAUUUUUAAUUCAGAUUAUGUGAAAGUUACAGGAAUUUAUCUUAGAAAAAAAAAUAGAC